CUGUCCUGUUUUUUUAAAAUGUGGGGAGACUUCAAAUCCUUUCAGACUCAUUUCCACUUCCGAUGAAGUGAACACUGUUUCUGUCUCUCGUUCUUCCAGGAAAUGGAGCAUUCUUCAUUCCUACUUGCAGUUGAGCCACUUCGUGUGGAGUGUGGAUACUGUCUUCACCAUUCUAGUUUUGCCGCUUUCCAGGGAUCCCUGUUGGACAAUACCGUGUUGCACCAAGAGGGACAACCCCUUACUUGCGUUGCCCGCCCCCCACGACGAGGACGUACUAGAAUGGACUUGGGGGGGCAGCGGAUUUUGCCUCUAGUUGUCCUUCACACAGACAGCAAUUUCAGAUGUCCUCAAAACGAAGGAGCCAAUACUAGACCCACGUCAGUGUACUGAGAGGACUGUGCGGACGGGACCUGCUCUUUUUUUUGAGACGUUGGGACUGCAAUCGCUGGCAAUGGACACACGUAAAUUUACAGAUCUUUUGGUGUUAGUUAGAGUUUGCCGGCCAUGCAUCAUGCAUGCAAGACAUACAGACAGAAUGAAGAAGGAGGAGGAACCACCAAGCACAUGAAGUUGGAGAGUGUCUUACCACCAGACACACAUUUCAGUGGUGUGGAUUGAACCCUACCAGUUGUGGUAAACACUCCCAAACCUGAUUCUACAUGGAGGCAGAAUGUAUGCAGGGGCCCUAUUUUGCUGACUUCAGCAGACAAUGUGAAUAUCAACACUUUCUUUCAAAUGGCUUGGGGUAUGAAUUUAAUUGAAUUGAGGGACUGGCAGAGAAGGAGCAUUCACGGCAACUUGCAGAUAAUAGAAUGUUCUAAUAAGGACUCUUUGAGUGUCCUGGGCAUUAGCAGCAAUACUUGGAUAAUUUGGUAUAAUGGAAAACCUGAGUACCCUGGGCAUUAGCAGCAAUACUCAGGUAAUUUAGAAAAAGGAAGAAAUCUCUGAGUAUCCUGGGCAUUAGCAGCAAUACUCAGGGACAUUUGACAACGAGAGGAACCUUAGAGUAUUCUAGGGCAUUAGCAGCAAUACUCCAAAGUAAACAGUCACACAUUCUGCUACGUUCCCCAUCCGCGCCUGGCAUGGUUCGCUACGCAGCCAUGGUUCUGUGGUACCAAAUAUAAACUGUUGCUUUCCUACCUUUCGGUGAGUUACUGCACAUGCUGUUGGUUUGUCCAGUGACCUGCUGGUGUGACACUGCCAUUUCUUGAAGUUCACCUGCAAAACAAAUGGCUGUCAUCAACUUUUCCAUGUAGCUUCUUGUUUUGUGGCAUUCACAAUCACAGUAUGACUGUCAUGCUUCUGUAAAAUUCUCUUGUAUGAGGCUUGUGUUCAGUGUUAUGGGUGAUACUAUUACCAGCAUGACUUAGCUAAGAAUUUUGUCAGCAUAGUUUUCCAUAACUCUGUUAAAAUAAUUGGGUCACAUGAACCAUAACACAUUCAUUGUUCGUUGUUCAACAAUCAGCACAGUGCUAAACUGCAUUAAUUUUUUAGUACUGAUACUGAAGAAGCAAUAUAAUGCCACAAAACAAGAAAAUUCAACACAAAAAAUAAUACAGUGGCAGUGACAAAUUGACAGGAACAUUUUGUGUGGGUGUGUGUGUGUGUGGCCUUAAACAUCACCUCACUGCUACGUUAUUCAUAACUUCUUUCAUUGUAUCUCACUAUUCAAGUAUACACACAGCGUUGAAAGAAUACGAAGAAUCGUAAUUGCACCAUACAUGGCUACCACUAGAAUUAAAGGAGCGCUGUCGCCACUAACUGACAACUAACGGUUGUCUCUACAAACUGAAUAAAAGCAAGCACUAGGAGAAAAGAAGGAACACUAUGCAGCCUGCACAAUAUAUAUUUCUAAGAGCAUAAAAAAAUGUGACUCCGAAGGGCAUUAGAUCUGACAUUCUGGAGCACAGCUACCUGGGAAGAAGUUUAUGUAAAACUGUAAGAAAAUGUCCAUCCUUAAUAAUCCACUAACACAACAAAGUUGCAUUCUGAAUAAAAGGUGGUUAUUAGGGGAUUAGAGGUGUGUGGAACAGGCUUAGGUUCUUAUUCAGUUCUGGGCAUCCUUAAUUAUUGAACCUACACAUUUUCCUACGAGAAAGUUGGUAUGAGAGUUAAAUACUGACCAUGAAAUUCUGUACACGAGUUCCAUUUCCCACUUGUGAAAAUAGACGAAUACUGAAAUGAAUUCCAUAAGAACUAUUAAGAUAUUGGAAAGUUUUUAUAUGGUAGAUUUCGAAAGUUGCUGUAGAUCCAAUAAUUGAAGGAAAGUGACUGAAAAAGGCGUGGAAUUAUAAACCUACAAGAUAAAAGUAUGAAGAUAAAUAAGAAUGAUCUUAUGGAAAUGGGGGAGGUGUGCACAGGAUUCACGUGUCUCCGGAUACGGACCGAUGUGAUUUUGUAAUCCCAGUAAUGAAAAUUUUAGUUCCUUUAAAUGCAGGGAAUUUCUUGAGGGGCAUUGCACCUAAAGGAGGCCUGCUCAGUGCAAUUUACAAAGUAGAAUUGGUUCUUUGACAGAUACCAUUUGUGUUCAAUAUGUAGGUCCAACUACCA